AUUGAACGCUGGCGGCAUGCCUUACACACGCAAGUCGAACGGUAACAGGUCUUCGGAUGCUGACGAGUGGCGAACGGGUGAGUAAUACAUCGGAACGUGCCUAGUAGUGGGGGAUAACUACUCGAAAGAGUGGCUAAUACCGCAUGAGAUCUACGGAUGAAAGCAGGGGAUCGCAAGACCUUGUGCUACUAGAGCGGCCGAUGGCAGAUUAGGGAGUUGGUGGGAUAAAAGCGUACCAAGCCGACGAUCUGUAGCUGGUCUGAGAGGACGAUCAGCCACACUGGGACUGAGACACGGCCCAGACUCCUACGGGAGGCAGCAGUGGGGAAUUUUGGACAAUGGGCGCAAGCCUGAUCCAGCAAUGCCGCGUGCAGGAUGAAGGCCUUCGGGUUGUAAACUGCUUUUGUACGGAACGAAAAGCCCUGGGUUAAUACCCUGGGGUCAUGACGGUACCGUAAGAAUAAGCACCGGCUAACUACGUGCCAGCCGCCGCCGUAAAAC
rnacentral:rRNA from 1 species